rnacentral:tRNA from 1 species
GGUCCCGUAGUUUAAUGGAUAAAAUGUGAGAUUCCGGUUCUCAUGAUACAGGUUCGAUUCCUGUCGGGACUACCA